GAUCCUGGCUCAGGACGAACGCUGGCGGCGUGCUUAACACAUGCAAGUCGAACGGGACUGCUAUGACGGAGUUUUCGGACAACUGAUUAGUAUGUCUAGUGGCGGACGGGUGAGUAACGCGUGAGUAACCUGCCUUUCAGAGGGGGACAACAGUCGGAAACGACUGCUAAUACCGCAUAACGUAUUUGAACCGCAUGAUUUGAAUACCAAAGAUUUAUCGCUGAAAGAUGGACUCGCGU
rnacentral:rRNA from 1 species